rnacentral:lncRNA from 1 species
GUUCGUCCCUUCGGGGACAUCCGAUAAAAUUGGAACGAUACAGAGAAGAUUAGCAUGGCCCCUGCGCAAGGAUGACACGCACAAAUCGAGAAAUGGUCCAAAUUUUUUUCUUAUUCUCCGAUUCACGGUCUGUUUCUCACGUUUUUGCUUCAGGUCACUUUCUCUUUCUCCACGUGUAUUGUCUCUUCCCCUUUUUUGUUUAUGGUUAUUUCCUGUGGGCGUAUAUGUAAAAGCUUCUUGUUUUAACAUCAUGGAUUGACUUCUCCGAUUCACGGUCUGUUUCUCACGUUUAAGCAACAUUUUUUUUCCCCUUCCCGUGUUUUGCUUCAGGUCACUUUCUCUUUCUCCCCGUGUAUUGUCUCUUCCCCUUUUUUGUUUAUGGUUAUUUCCUGUGGGCGUAUAUGUAAAAGCUUCUUGUUUUAACAUCAUGGAUUGACUUAUAUAUGGUAUAUGGAGUUCUGCUAAUUGUUCUGUAUGAAAUUUGGCUAGGAGAAGAUGGGGCAGUUGGCAAAGUUUUCAUCUUUAGUUUAAGGUGUCAACUUAAAUGUGCAGAUUUUGGCUUAUCAUUAUGUUUUUUUGGAUGUAAUUACUGACAAUGCUUUUGUAACUAGGGUAAAAUGAGUAUUGUAAACAGAAUGAAGGUGAUACUAGAUAAUUAUUUUUGCAAUUUGAUAUGGCUUUAUCGGAUUAAACUAAUGAAAGAGCAGUAUACAAUCGCUUUAUAGGUUUAGAAAGGAAACUAGAGAUCUAGACAGAAGAUGCUUCCACCUUUAGAUUUUUAGGAUUUAACCUUUUUAAAGCAUUUUUAUGCUAUGUUAAUUAUUUUUCUAGGAAAUAAAUUAGCAAUUACAUAUACAAAUGUUGGUAUUUUGGGAAGUUCAGAUUUAAUUUCAUAAUGGCUUCUAAGAGCAAUGUAUUUAGAGUUCUCUGGUAAUCUUCUCACAGUGCUCUGUUUUGGCAAGAGAAGGUUACAACAAUUUCCAUAUUAUCUUAGAUUUUGUUUGCAGCUUCCCUUUCCUGACAAAACUGAUAUUUGCUCUCUUAAUGCUGCUUGUUUAUUUUAGGGUUCUUGCAUGUUUCCAGUUCUAAAUAGGUAUAUCCAAAUAAAGGGCAACUUCAAAGUUUAGUGCAGUUGAUUGGGAAACAAGAAGUAUUAACAUUGUUAUUAUUCCUUUCUUAAGAUGUUUUAGAUGUAUCAACCUGAGAUCGAGCAAAUAGGAGCAGGGAAUAAAUGGACUGGUAAUCUUUGGUCCUAAUCUAUAUUCCAGCAUAUACUACUGCAGACACUUAGAUAAGAGUCCUUUUUUUUACACUUGGGCAUAUUAUGGACUAUAAGAUGUGUGAAAAUACUAGGUGUAGUGUUGCUAUUCAUUGUGUUACAGACUUACAUUUAUAUAACAGUAACAAAUAACAGAGGACAAAACGAAAGGAAGCAACUUUAUUCCUUGUGCAUGCUUGGGC